rnacentral:rRNA from 1 species
GACGAACGCUGGCGGCGUGCUUAACACAUGCAAGUCGAACGAAGUGGCGAACGGGUGAGUAACGCGUAAUCAACCUGCCCUUCAGAGGGGGACACCAGUUGGAAACGACUGCUAAUCCCGCAUACUGAAGAAGGGGAUUGCGUCGGAUUAGCUAGUUGGAGGGGUAACGGCCUACCAAGGCGAUGAUCAGUAGCCGGUCUGAGAGGAUGGACGGCCACAUUGGGACUGAGAAACGGCCCAGAAUCCUACGGGAGGCAGCAGGGGGGAAUCUUCCGCAAUGGACGAAAGUCUGACGGCGCAACGCCGCGUGAGUGAUGACGGCCUUCGGGUUGUAAAGCUCUGUUAAUCGGGACGCGGUACCGGAAGAGAAAGCCACGGCUAACUACGUGCCAGCCGCCGCGGUAAUUC